UAUUUAUAUUUAAGGUUAAAAAGUUUAACACUAAGUUUUCCAUAAGUUUUCCUUCAUAUAGCUAUAGAGAAAACUCGAAACGUCAUUAUACUAUAUGGCUCAUAACAUUAUGAAACGAUUGUUUACAUUAUAAAUUUAUUAAACAAAAAUAAUGCCGUUAAUAUUAAAAUAGCAAAAUGAUGUAUAUCACAACCGAACUUACAAAGCAACUUGGCUUAUAUUAAAUCCAAUUUUGAAGUAUUAACUUUUAACUGUAGCUAUUAAACAACUACAAACACAUCCAUUAACAGAUUCGCUAAAAGUUAUAGAGGAUAUUUAAUCGAAAUUAUGUAAUUUACAUGGACCAUAUGAAAUUACCGUUCCGAUAAAACUUUAUAAUGUAUUAAUUAAAAACCAGGGUUUAAAUAGUUUAAAACAAAUAUCUAAAAUUAUCACCGGAGGGGAGUCCGUGGACCUUAAUUCAAUAGCAAAGGAUCUAACACGUAAUGAUCUAGUAUUUUUUAAGUAGCUUCCAUUAUUUCCGUCGACGUGGAACGUUCAUUUUCGCCACAUAAGUGUAUUCUAGCCGACAAUAGAAGAGCCUUCCAGUUCGAAAACACCUUAUAAUUGAAUGCAAUCACAAAGAUGCUGUCGGCAAGCCGCGCGAGCUGGUUGACGUAAAUGGUUAAUUAUAGUAACUACUAUUCCUUGAGCAAUACUAAACGGAUGAAGAACUCGGCUGAGAAGAAAGUAUCCUGUCGUCAGUUUAACAAAACAUUAUGUUUGUUGCAAGUGUAGAUAGGUACUAGUCAAUAUUCAAAAAUCGCAAAAAAUGAACAGGCUUUUUGAAUUUAAAAGAUUGUGAAUAAUUUUGAAUAAUUUAAUAAUCAAAUAAAUCAAGUAUUUUGUU